UUUUUUUUUUUUUUUUUUUUUGGAAAAAAAACAUCUUUCAAAGGGUGGCAAAGGUGCUAAAGGUAAACAACAAAUAUAUGAUGCUCCAUGAACAAACUCUAACAUAUGUCACCAUAUCGAAAUUUACAGCAUAUAAGUUUACUGUUACAUUAAUGCUUAUGCUGAUGUGCUAGCUAUAGCUUGCAGCGUUUGUGGCUAACAGAUUGUAAACAUUGUUACACUGCUGUGUGUCUUCUGUCUCGUUGUUCACAAGACCAACUAGUGUUAAUGAAACAUUUCCGGAUAUUGUAUCUUAACUAAAUGUGUUUGAAAUGCGUGAGGAGAUAUGUGGCCAAAUGUGUAAUUCGCCUAAUAUGGUUAUUUCAAAAUGCUUAAUAUAUCUAUACAGAUGGAUAGGUAUUAUCUUAUUUGCAUUGUUGUAGAUGUAAGAUGUUAAGAUACACUUGUGUUUGGACAGGGGCAGCUGCUUCAGGCAGUGGAGACAGUGAUAAGAAGGAAAAGGCCCAGAAAGGAGGUUCUGCAUAUUCUGUGUAAAAGCAUGGUUAGUGUAUGGAAGCAAUGUAGAAAAAACAAGCCUGGCAUGCGCUUCGGUGAGGUGGCAGCACAGUACAGUGAGGACAAAGCCGGACAAGGAGGUGACCUUGGCUGGAUGAAAAGAGGAUCAAUGGUAGGACCAUUUCAGGACGCAGCAUUUGCACUGCCCAUCAGCACUAGGGUCAAACCUUUAUACACUGAUCCUCCCGUGAACACCAAGUUUGGUUAUCAC